CUGAACUGGAGGUUUGUUUCCACCGGCUAGGGACAGAACAUUAAGGAAAAUAACGCAGUGUUCCGUUGUGAAUAGAAUUUUAGCAUAGACACGGAUAUCCAAAGGAAAUCAAAGCAGUUCAUGGCAGCCCUUUAGAAGAUGUCACCACCUUAUGGGCAACCAGCGAUCUUUGGUGACCUCGUACGAAAUGCUAGUUACAGCUCUUUUAU